rnacentral:lncRNA from 1 species
GUAUCAUGCUGAGAAGGAGCCGGGCGGGGGCCGGCGGGGCUGCGAGGGCCCUGUGAGGAGGGGCACCUGCCACUAGAAGCGGCCUCUGGGACGUCGCGCUGAGCCCUGCUUUGGAGUCAGAGGGGCUUUCCGCCUCGGUGAACUCGAGAGUAGCAACUCUCCUCCGGGUAACCGGAGUGCCACAGCGGGCAGGCGUCAUAAGGACAGGCCUCGGAGAGGAGAGGGGCUACCCGAGAAUGGCCUCAAAAGUAUGCAUAGGAGUUGGGAAGGCAGAGGAACAAGUGUAUUCAGAGACGCAAGGUCGUAGAGGGAAGGAGAGGGAGGGUGCUGGGUGGUCGGGCCGGAUUGUGAGGGUCUUUAAGGCCAGCUGGGGAGUGGAGCCUUUAUCCAGAUGGCGAUGGGAACCAUCUGGGAUUCACACUGAGGAACUGGGAGUCUCAGGAAGCGCCCCGGGCACAGAUGGAAGGUGUGACAGGGCUGUGUGAAGCCAGCUGGGAGGCCACCUCAGUCAGCCCUGGGAGAGUGACCUUGGGGAUGGAAAAGAGGACUUGAUGGUUCUCAGGCCUGGAGCUGUCUCGAUGCGGGGCCGCAGGUUGCCUCUGCAUUACCCUGAGAGCUUUCCAAAUUACUUCCCCGCUCCCUCACAUUUACAGCCGGUUUCUGCCCGCUACUCAGGAUUGUCUGCCGUGGUGGCUUCUCACACAAGCCUGUACUUUCCUGUGGGAGAAUAUUUCCUAGGAGCCUAUAUUCCAGUUCAUCUCUGACGUCAUAAAUCAUGACUGUGUAGAAAGGCGUGAGUAACUUGAACCCAUUUUACAAACCCAUUCAAUUCUCCUAAUGUUGCGAAAUAUAUCACAUAGGGUGUUAGCAGUUCUAACUGAACCUAGAAUAAUCCAGGGAUCCCAGUGAAUGCUGAUAGCCAGCCUGCUGGACAGACCGGUGGCUGUGUCAGUUCUUGUGAGGAGGGGCCAGGACCCUCCCUGGGCCUUCCCCUGUGCACUCCGAGCUGCUCCUCCCGACCUCUGGGAUGGAGCAAGUAAGAGAAAGAGGAAAUGCAGAGCCCCCACUUCCUGAUAUUUUCUCCUGACUUCAUACCUCCCGUUUUCACGCUAAACUGCCUGGCCCCUCUGGGAUGACCUAGGAUGAAGAGAGCCUCUCUUCCUGCAGAUGAUGGUCCUUGCUGUGUUUCCUCCUGUGCUGCAGGAUGUUUGAUACAGCUUCGUGAGUGGUGACUACAUGUGCACAUUUAGGCUCCAAAAGAGUCUGCACCUCAGCCCCGAUAGGACCCUUGGCAACUGACUUAGGCUCACUGAGCCUCCAUUUCCUAUUCUGCAAAGUUAGAAUCUUAGUAGCUCCUCGAAUAUGGGGGAUUGUAAGGGUAGAGUGGCUGAUGUAGAUAUUUUAUUUUUUAUUCAUUUUAUUUUUUUUAUUUUUAUUUUUUGGAGACAGACUCUCGCUCUGUCACCCAGGCUGGAGUACAGUGGUGUGAUCUCGGCUCACUGCAACCUCCACCUCCCGGAUUCAAAUGAUUCUCCUGCCUCAGCCUCCCUAGUAGCUGGGAUUACAGGUGCCCACCACCACACCUGGCUAGUUUUUGUAUUUUUAGUAGAGAUGGGAUUUCACCAUGUUGGCCAGGUUGGUCUUGAACUCCUGACCUCUGGUGAUCCUCCCACCUCGGCCUCCCAAAGUGCUGGGAUUACAGGCAUGAGUCAAUGCACCCAGCCUGAUGUAGGUAAAACACCAGGACAAGUGCCUGGUAUACUUAUGACAACUCUGUUAUUAGUUGUCUCCCUGGUGAUGGUCUGGGAUGUGGCGGUCUUGUGCCAUAUAUUUCCUCCUGGGGAAGAAUAUGCUCACAAACACUAUGGGCAGGCCAGUGGCCUGACCUUGUCCCAACCCAGGCUGUUAUAGCUUCACAGACCCCAGUCAGUGUGGGUUGGGCUACUUGAAACAGGGGAAAGGAUGUUUAUUUUUUUGUUUUUGUAGAAACCACAGGAGCUAUGGCUUUCCACAGAUUUAAAUCAACAUGCCUCUGGUUCCUGUGUGGUUAAUUAGCUCUACCCAGCCUGCAGGCUUGGGGAGUUGCCCUCCUCAGAGUGGAUUCCUGGCUGUUAGCAGACCUCCAGGGUCUUUGCUGCCCUGGUGACAAAGGGCACAGCACAGUGGACCCAGGAGACCUGAAAAUGUGGGUUAGAGGUGCCCCUCCUCUCCUCUCAAACUCUCCCAGUUCUGUUUCCUUUGAGGAGCAUCCCCAGGAACAUGCCUGCCCUGUGUUCAUUCACCCUUGACAUUCAGCCCAGGGACUCUUGUGGACCAUGGGAUGGUAUUGGCCUCUGGUUAUCUGGGGCUCUGAUUCAAUCUCCCAUUUCCAUUCACUGUCCCAGAGGCUGUUUACCUCCUUUUGAUCUAGACUGGGGCUCCUCAACAGCAGGACCUUGUCUGACUGGUCCUAUCCCCUGGGCUGGCCUUCAGCAGGCCCUCUGGGGCUCAUGGUUGUGCUGGCUUCUCCAUGACGCUCUGAGCAUUUCCCUCACCUGCGCUUCUAAAGGGCCCACCAAUCACCAGGCUUAAAAGCACUCAGAGAGAUCUUUGGCUUUAGCUGCUGAGCUAAUAAGUAACAGGGAGAGUGCUGGGAUUGCAUCUGGUUUCUCCUCAUGGAGGGGUUGUUGAUGAGCUCUCUUCACUCAUCCAGGAAAAUUCACUAGGCUUGACUAUGCUUUAUGACAAAUGAAUAAACAAAUCUUUCAGUUUAUGCAAGCCAGCUGUGUGGUGUGUCAAGUAUCAUGUCCUCCUGGGUCCAACUGCUGCCCCACCAGGGACAGGAUAGACCUAGAGACCCUGCAGGAGUUUCCCAGUCCCCUAAGCUUCACUUGCUGAAAUAUCUUCUUCCCACUUCAGCAUAACAUGUGACACAUGGCAGCCAUUUUGGAGAUGGCCAGAUGAGAGGACAAUCAAUCCACAUGCCUAAAUGGAACCAACAGACAUGUGCCAGCUUGCUUCUCCAGCCUAUGUUCUCAGACACUUGUAGAAGACCAGAGGGAAAAUGGAAUCAGAAAAAACAGCAACAACAACAAAAAGCCAUCCAGGGCCAUGCACAGUGGCUCACUCCUGUAAUCCCAACAGUUUGGGAGGCCAAGGCAGGUGGAUUGCUUGAGCUCAGCAGUUUAAGACCAGCCUGGGCAACAUGGCGAAACCCUUUCUCUACUAAAUACAAAAACUAGCUGGGUGUGGUGGCAUGCACCUGUAGUCCCAGCUACUCGGGAGGCUGAGGUGGGAGGAUCACCUGAGCCUGGGAGGUUGAAGCUGCAGUGAGCUGUGAUGGUGCCACUGCACUCCCACCUGGGUGACAGAGCAAGACCCUGUCUCAAAAAAACAAAACUAAACAAAAAAAUCCAUGUGGGAAAAGGCCCAAUCAGAGCCAACUCACUGCUGGGAUUAGUAGAAAUGAUUAGUCACCAGAAGGCAAAUCGUGGAAGAAUGAAGAGAUGACAGGACCUCAGGAACUACACCCAGAGGUGUAGUUGUGCCGUAGGCAAAGCAUCAUGCCGGUCAUCCCCAAGAAAGGGAGAAGGGGUAGAGCUCAGACUCUUCCCUGCUUCCCCAUAAGUCCAGUUUACCCUGGGCUGAUCCUUUCAGCAUGGCAGCCUCCGUGGGGAGGCACGAGAUCCAAAGAUGAAGAUGUCUAUGGGGGUGAAGAAGAAUGGCAAACUUUGCAGGCAAGAGUAGGCAUUAGAGAGAUCAGAGGAGGAAGACAAUAGAGAAGGAUGACACAGGACAGGCUGUAUCUAGAGGAUAUAAUGCCAUGGACUUUGGACUAUUCCAGAGAGGCUGAGAGACCUGUCUCCUGCCUACAAGGCUCCUUGAACUCUGCACCCUUCUUUUUGCUAAAGUGCUGCUGAGGCCUGUCUCACUUCCCAAUGAAAAGCAACUCAGGAAAUUGGCUUCCUGCCCCACUCCUUCUUUGGGAGAGAGAAACAGAACUGAAGAGGAAGGAAGGAAGCCCAAAGAAACAGAGGCUUUCUUUCCUGGCUGAGAUUUGUUGGCACUGCCCACUAACAUAGAGAAUAAGGUGGUUCCCUAAGCGAGCCUUAAGCUGGCAUGAGGCUACAAACAAGUGAUUGUAUCUUCGUUCUGCUCAGCAGCCUACCUGGGCUGGCCUGGACAACCUCAAUUGUAUACUGAGGUCUUAAGCUGGCCAUGGCCCUUGGUAAAGCAGGAGAAAGGAAUAAGGCUGGAAGGUACAGAAUUUGCUUGAUGCCUUGCCUACAUAAUUCCUUUGCUGUUGCAACUGGCAACUCUUUGCUUGCAUUAUAUGAAAAAAAGGCGGUAAAAAAUUGUCAGAAAUGUUUGCCACCAGCCUAACCCCACUGCCCAUGCAUUGCUCCCAAGAAAGCUAAUUAAGGCCCAUUGCUAUUAGAGUUACAUGAUUCUGAAGGCUUGUUAUGACAAGAAAAAAUAAUGAAGACAUGGUUCCUCCAAGUCAUAAGCAUCCAAGUCAAAACAUACUGCAUCCCAGGCGAGUGUGGUGGCUCACGCCUGUAAUCCCAGCACUUCGGGAGGCCAAGGCAGCCGGAUCACGAGGUCAGGAGUUCGAGACCAGCCUUGCCAAGAUGAUGAAACCCCGUCUCUACUAAAAAUACAAAAAUUAGCCAGGCAUGGUGGCGGGCGCCUGUACUCCCAGCUACUCAGGAAGCUGAGGCAGGAGAAUCGCUUGAAACCGGGAGGCGGAGGUUGCAAUGAGCCGAGAUCACACCACUGCACUGUACCCUGGGCGUCAGAGCAAGACUCCAUCUCAAAAAAAAAAGAAAAAAACAUCCUGCAUCCCUUGUUCCUUUGUGUUCCCCUAGACAAGCCUCUGGGCUGGCUUUGCCUAUCUCAUGCAUGCAGGCAGUCAUCCUCCUUUGGCCAGUGCAUACCUGACUCCUACUCAGUGCCAGGCCUGGAGAAGACUGUGAGACCUGCCCUUGAGGAGUUCUGUUUGCAGGAAGAGAGUGAUAGGCACACAAAUUAUUUCCAAUAAACUACAGAAAAUGUCACCAGAAUCUCUAUUGUGAUCAUGUCCCCCACCCAUGUCUGUUUCAUAGAUUGGGGGAGAACAGGCCCGGGUGGAAAGUCAUGCACUUAUGCCCUCUCCUGACCAGCCCACAUGUCCUACCCCAGCCAACAGUGGUUCAGGCAUGACUCUGACUGCUCAUGGGAAAGAGCAGCUUGCUCAGCCCCUCCAUCAGACUCAGUUCU